rnacentral:rRNA from 1 species
CGUAGGUGGCGAGCGUUGUCCGGAAUGACUGGGCGUAAAGGCGUGUAGGCGAUCCUGUAAGUCUGGGUGAAACCGGCGGCUCAACCGCCGGCCUGCCCUGGAAACUGCGGGCUAGAGUGGGCUAGAGGGCAGCGGAAUUCCCGGUGUAGCGGUGAAAUGCGUAGAGAUCGGGAGGAACACCAGUGGCGAAGGCGGCUGCCUGGGGCCUAACUGACGCUGAGGCGCGAAAGCUGGGGAGCAAACAGGAUU